CCUACGGGGGUCUGCAGUGGGGAAUAUUGGGCAAUGGGCGCAAGCCUGACCCAGCAACGCCGCGUGAAGGAAGAAGGCUUUCGGGUUGUAAACUUCUUUUCUGCGGGACGAAGAAAGAGACGGUACCUCCGGAAUAAGCCACGGCUAACUACGUGCAUGCGGGCGCGGUAAUACGUAGGUGGCAAGCGUUCUCCGGAUUUAUUGGGUGUAAAGGGCGUGUAGGCGGGAAAGCAAGUCAGGAGGGAAAACUCAGGGCUCAACCCCGGGCCGGCAGUUGAAACUGUGUGUCUUGAGAGGUGGAGAGGCAAGCGGAAUGCGGAGUGUAGCGGUGAAAUGCGUAGAUAUAGCGAAGAACUCCGGUGGCGAUGGCGGAAUGCUGGAGGGGAACUGACGCUGAGGCGCGAAAGCGUGGGGAGCGAACAGGAUUAGAUACCCGUGUAGUC
rnacentral:rRNA from 1 species